rnacentral:tRNA from 1 species
GUUCCCAUAGAUCAAUUGGAUAGAUCAGGUCCCUCCGAAGGAUCAGAUACAGGUUCGAGUCCUGUUGGGAACACCA